CGGUUUGGAGGUCAUUUUUUGUAUAGUGCCUCUAAGAUGGGGGUUCUCCUAGGUGGCUUCAUUCAUUGCUGUUCUGCAUUCCUUUCUUGUUUGUGUUCCUAUAGCCUUUUCUGUAUGAGUCUCCUUGGAAUUAGAGAUAGAUUUCACAUGUGGACCAAUGAUAAAUCCAUCUCUGUCAUGUAAGACUUAUCCCUAGUACACAUGACUAGAAAAGUAAAGAGGACAAUAAAUGUUUAUAUAACAUUUAGGUGAUAGCCUACUAUGUUCUUACAGCAUAAAAUAGAUAAGGAUCCUGCCAAUUCGCAUAUGAAAUCAGGUGUGUACAUCAUACUAGCAGAUAAUAAGGCUUCAGGACAGAAAGAAAAAUAUAUAAGCAAGAUUCUUAGAACAUUGAAGUGGAGGAUAACAGAACAUAAAUAUGAUAUAGCACAGGGCAAUCUUAGCAUAGCAUUAGCCAAAAGACACUAUGAAGUCAAAUACUACAUGACCAUAGACAUAAAAUGAGAUGAUGCCAAGACUGUGAAAUCUAACUCCAAAGAGGUUCAUACAGCGGAGGCUGUGGGGAUGCGGACAGGGGAGGAGUGUAGAAUUGUGGUGAAUGAAAUUACCUAGGAGAACUCCCCCUAUCUUGGAG
rnacentral:lncRNA from 1 species